AACGUAGGGGGCAAGCGUUGCCCGGAUUCACUGGGCGUAAAGCGGGUGUAGGCGGUCCGUUAAGUCGGAUGUGAAAUCUCCGAGCUCAACUCGGAAACUGCAUCCGAUACUGGCGGACUUGAGGACGGUAGAGGUCGGUGGAAUGACCUGUGUACCGGUGAAAUGGACAGAUAUUGGUCGGAACACCAGUGGCGAAGGCGGCCGACUGGGCCGUUCCUGACGCUGAGACCCGAAAGCCAGGGUAGCGAACCGG
rnacentral:misc_RNA from 1 species